GCCGAACCCCUUACAUGAUGUUUGAAUGGCUUUUUAUAGCUAUUGUUUACAAGCUUUUUUUUCUUCUUUUUUACUCCAUUUUUACUUUUUUAUGUUGCGUGUUUGCAGGUGGAGCAGGUGAGGACGACGCGACGUGGCGGCUGCUGGUGAUGCGACAGGCGUGCGGCGCGGGUCAGAGGCAGAUGAGGGUGCGGCCCUAGGGCAGUGGCAGAGACUAGGGUUCUGAAACCCUAGUUUCCAUUGGAUUUGGGGCAUGUUAUGUGGUUUGGGCCUAUUGGGCUCAGGUUUGGGUUUAAU
rnacentral:lncRNA from 1 species